GUUGAGCUGCUGCGUGCUGUCUCGAAGCAAGCAAUCCAGCCGUUACGUCAGUCAUUUGGAACAGGAAUCUAAUGGCUGUCAAUAGGUGGCUGUCAAAAGUUGGCUGGAAUGUCCACCAGGUAGCGCGAGUGUCUUCAGGGACGGAUUUCGGCCAUUUUGUUCCAAGACGCAGCAGAAAUGGUUGCUGGGCAUGACGUUUCUCACGAUGAAAAUUAAAAGGUGAUUUAGCACAAAGAAACCAAUUUGCCAAAUCAUUCAACUGAGACUUGGAAUUGCCUGUACAUUGCCGAAAUGGCGUGCCUCGUGUGUCUCGCUGCCUGUUCUUAGGCGUACGUCUCAUCCCAUGCAACAGUAAAAAGUAUAACAAACACUUCUUAAACGCUGUUGGUUACCUUGUUGCAGCCAAAUGGUGAAAGGUGUGACGAAGACAGAUUGAACCAUUGUAUGCAGCAUGCGGUUGCAGUGUUAUCCAGAACUAGAAGUUGCUGUGCUGUUGUAGCUGAGCUGUUCCAUGCUGUGAGGUUGAAGCUGAGCUGUUCCAUUCAUGACUUAAAAAUUUUUGUGUUUUCAUCCGUGUCUAUAUUUUGUGUU